UACGUAGGUGACCAGCGUUGUCCGGAUUUACUGGGCGUAAAGAGCGCGCAGGCGGUCGUUCAAGUCGAGUGUGAAAGCCCCCGGCUCAACUGGGGAGGGUCACUCGAUACUGAUCGACUUGAAGGCAGGAGAGGGAAGCGGAAUUCCCGGUGUAGUGGUGAAAUGCGUAGAUAUCAGGAGGAACACCAAUGGCGAAGGCAGCUCACUGGGACGGUAUUGACGCUGAGACGCGAAAGCGUGGGGAGCGAACAGG
rnacentral:rRNA from 1 species